AAGAAUUAAAUGGAUGAAAUAUGAAGUUUUAUUAAAGAAAAAGGGGUGAAAAGAACAAAGUUUUGUCCAUCUUUGUUCAUCAUAGCUGAAAGUUAGAGAAGAGAAAGGAGAGGAGAAAGCUCUUGAGUAUUUGGUCAUUAGGAGGAGGAAAAUUGAAGGCGGUUUGUGUGUGGAUCUCGUCAACAUAUCGUCAUAAAAUGUGUGUAACUAACACCCUCUUUCUUAGUCUGGAUCGGCAAAAGUCGAAAAGUCGAAAUGCCGAAAACCGGUAUUUUGUAGAUUUGCGAGUGUGCGAAUGUUCGUGAGGUAAAUCGAUUAAUGUUUUUGGUAAGCUGCAAAAUUUAGACUGUAAAGUGCAUGAUUUCUGUGCCCUCGAUAUUUUUGGGCUUUUAAAUGUAAUAAGGCCGCUUAUUUAUUUUUGGUGGUUUUUAAUAUGUAUUAGUAAGAUAGGUAAUACUUAUUUUAACUGUUGAAAUUGGAUAGCUUUAGGGCGCGUUUUCAAAAACAACAGUUGAUUUCAAAAUAACACGACAACAAGCAAAGCUUCCGCAAUGAAA